rnacentral:lncRNA from 1 species
CUCAACUAACUUGUAUAGGAGUCUAUUUUACAUAUAUACACAAUUAUUAAUGUGUCCUAACUAAUUGACUAAUGGACUAUUCUAGAAGUGUACAUGUUAAAUAACAUAUUGUAUAAGUACCCUCAACUGGGCUCUAUAUCUCUGCAAAUAUCAAUACAUUACCCGAGCGAACGGAUGGCGUACAACUCCCUAUGCUCUACAUAGAUCUGCCCUUGGCUGCCGAUGCUCUUUCCUGUCUUUUUAGCUCUACGUUUUCUCGCUAUCUGUCUUUCUACCUG